ACUCAGGUGACGCCACAGACGGGUGAGUGUCGGGACUCAGGUGACGCCACAGACGGGUGAGUGUCGGGACUCAGGUGACGCCACAGACGGGUGAGUGUCGGGACUCAGGUGACGCCACAGACGGGUGAGUGUCGGGACUCAGGUGACGCCACAGACGGGUGAGUGUCGGGACUCAGGUGACGCCACAGACGGGUGAGUGUCGGGACUCAGGUGACGCCACAGACGGGUGAGUGUCGGGACUCAGGUGACGCCACAGACGGGUGA